UCCCCAAUAGCUAAGUGGUUUAAGGCGGUAGACUGUUAAUCUAAUGAUCACAGGUUCGAAUCCUGUUUGGGGAG
rnacentral:tRNA from 1 species